rnacentral:rRNA from 1 species
UGGGGAAUCUUGCGCAAUGGUCGAAAGACUGACGCAGCGACGCCGCGUGUGGGAGGACGCCUUUCGGGGUGUAAACCACUGUUGCCCGGGACGAACUGCUUCAUUCGUGAAGCUUGACGGUACCGGGUGAGGAAGCACCGGCUAACUCCGUGCCAGCAGCCGCGGUAAUACGGAGGGUGCGAGCGUUGUCCGGAAUCAUUGGGCGUAAAGGGCGCGUAGGUGGCCCGGUCAGUUCGUGGUGAAAGCGCGGGGCUCAACCCUGCGUCGGCCAUGAAUACUGCCGCGGCUGGAGCACUGUAGAGGCAGGCGGAAUUCCGGGUGUAGCGGUGGAAUGCGUAGAGAUCCGGAAGAACACCGGUGGCGAAGGCGGCCUGCUGGGCAGUUGCUGACACUGAGGCGCGACAGCGUGGGGAGCAAACAG